rnacentral:rRNA from 1 species
GACGAACGCUGGCGGCGUGCUUAACACAUGCAAGUCGAACGGAAAGGCCCUGCUUUUGUGGGGUGCUCGAGUGUCGAACGGGUGAGUAACACGUGAGUAACCUGCCCUCGACUUUGGGAUAACUUCAGGAAACUGGGGCUAAUACCGGAUAGGAGCUCCUGCUGCAUGGUGGGGGUUGGAAAGUUUCGGCGGUUGGGGAUGGACUGGCGGCUUAUCAGCUUGUUGGUGGGGUAGUGGCUUACCAAGGCUUUGACGGGUAGCCGGCCUGAGAGGGUGACCGGCCACAUUGGGACUGAGAUACGGCCCAGACUCCUACGGGAGGCAGCAGUGGGGAAUAUUGCACAAUGGGCGGAAGCCUGAUGCAGCAACGCCGCGUGCGGGAUGACGGCCUUCGGGUUGUAAACCGCUUUCGCCUGUGACGAAGCGUGAGUGACGGUAAUGGGUAAAGAAGCACCGGCUAACUACGUG